CCUACGGGUGGCAGCAGUGAGGAAUAUUGGUCAAUGGGCGAGAGCCUGAACCAGCCAAGUCGCGUGAAGGAUGAAGGCUCUAUGGUUUGUAAACUUCUUUUAUAUGGGAAUAAAGUGAAGAACGUAUUCCGUUUUGUAUGUACCAUAUGAAUAAGCAUCGGCUAACUCCGUGCCAGCAGCCGCGGUAAUACGGAGGAUCCGAGCGUUAUCCGGAUUUAUUGGGUUUAAAGGGUGCGUAGGUGGUUCAUUAAGUCAGCGGUGAAAGUUUGUGGCUCAACCAUAAAAUUGCCGUUGAAACUGGCUGACUUGAGUAUAUUAGAGGUAGGCGGAAUGCGUGGUGUAGCGGUGAAAUGCAUAGAUAUCACGAAGAACUCCGAUUGCGAAGGCAGCUUACUAAACUAUAACUGACACUGAAGCACGAAAGUGUGGGUAUCAAACAGGAUUAGAUACCCCAGUAGUC
rnacentral:rRNA from 1 species